GAGUGGCGGACGGGUGAGAAACGCGUGGGUAACCUGCCUCAUACAGGGGGAUAACAGUUGGAAACGACUGCUAAUACCGCAUAAGCGCACAGGAUUGCAUGACCCGGUGAGAAAAACUCCGGUGGUAUGAGAUGGACCCGCGUCUGAUUAGCCCUUUGGCAUGGUAACGGCCUACCAAAGCGACGAUCAGUAGCCGACCUGAGAGGGUGACCGGCCACAUUGCGACUGACACACGGCCCAAACUCCUACGGGAGGCAGCAGUGGGGAAUAUUGCACAAUGGGGGAAACCCUGAUGCAGCGACGCCGCGUGAGCGAAGAAGUAUUUCGGUAUGUAAAGCUCUAUCAGCAGGGAAGAAGAACGACGGUACCUGACUAAGAAGAACCGGCUAAAUACGUGCCAGCAGCCGCGGGAAUACGUAUGGUGCAAGCGUUAUCCGGAUUUACUGGGUGUAAAGGGAGCGCAGGCGGUGCGGCGAGUCUGAUGUGAAAGCCCGGGGCUCAACCCCGGUACUGCAUUGGAAACUGUCGUACUAGAGUGUUGGAGGGGUAAGUGGAAUUCCUAGUGGAGCGGUGAAAAUGCGUAGAUAUUAGGAAGAAACAUCAGUGGCGAAGGCGGCUUUACUGCACGAUCAUCUGAAGCUGAAGCUCGAAAGCGUGGGGGAAGCAAACAGGGAUAAGAAUACCCUGGUAGUCCACGCCGUAAACGAUGAAAUACUAGGAUGUCGGGGAGCAAUGAUCUUUGGUGCCGCAGCAAAUGCAAUAAGUAUUCCACUUGGGGAGUACGUUCGCAAGAAUGAAAACUCAAAGGAAAUUGACGGGGUCCCACACAAGCGGAGGAGCAUGUGGUUUAAUUCGAAGCAACGCGAAGAACCUUACCAAGUCUUGACAUCCCGAUGACAGAGUAUGUAAUGUACUUUCUAUUCGGAGCAUCGGUGACAGGUGGUGCAUGGUUGUCGUCAGCUCGUGUCGUGAGAUGUUGGGUUAAGUCCCGCAACGAGCGCAACCCCUGUCCUUAGUAGCCAGCGGUUCGGCCGGGCACUCUAGGGAGACUGCCAGGGAUAACCUGGAGGAAGGCGGGGAUGACGUCAAAUCAUCAUGCCCCUUAUGACUUGGGCUACACACGUGCUACAAUGGCGUAAACAAAGGGAAGCAAACCCGUGAGGCCGAGCAAAUCUCAAAAAUAAUGUCUCAGUUCGGACUGUAGUCUGCAACCCGACUACACGAAGCUGGAAUCGCUAGUAAUCGCAGAUCAGAAUGCUGCGGUGAAUACGUUCCCGGGUCUUGUACACACCGCCCGUCACCCCAUGGGAGUUGGAAAUGCCCGAAGUCAGUGAACCAACCGCAAGGAGGGAGCUGCCGAAGGCAGGUUCGAUAA
rnacentral:rRNA from 1 species